rnacentral:rRNA from 1 species
GAUAAACGCUGGCCGGCGGCGACAUAAGACAUGCAAGUCGAACGGACUUAACCAGUUAGUUUACGUAUUAGGGAGCGGUUAGUGGCGGACUGGUGAGUAACACGUAAGCAACCUGCCUAUCAGAGGGGAACAACAGUUAGAAACGACUGCUAAUACCGCAUAAGCCCACAGGUCGGCAUCGACCAGAGGGAAAAGGAGCAAUCCGCUUUGAGAUGGCCUCGCGUCCGAUUAGCUGGUUGGUGAGGUAACGGCCCACCAAGGCGACGAUCGGUAGCCGGACUGAGAGGUUGAACGGCCACAUUGGGACUGAGACACGGCCCAG